rnacentral:rRNA from 1 species
AUGUGAACGUUACCAAACUGUUGCCUCGGCGGGGUCACGCCCCGGGUGCGUCGCAGCCCCGGAACCAGGCGCCCGCCGGAGGAACCAACCAAACUCUUUCUGUAGUCCCCUCGCGGACGUAUUUCUUACAGCUCUGAGCAAAAAUUCAAAAUGAAUCAAAACUUUCAACAACGGAUCUCUUGGUUCUGGCAUCGAUGAAGAACGCAGCGAAAUGCGAUAAGUAAUGUGAAUUGCAGAAUUCAGUGAAUCAUCGAAUCUUUGAACGCACAUUGCGCCCGCCAGUAUUCUGGCGGGCAUGCCUGUCCGAGCGUCAUUUCAACCCUCGAACCCCUCCGGGGGAUCGGCGUUGGGGAUCGGGACCCCUCACACGGGUGCCGGCCCCGAAAUACAGUGGCGGUCUCGCCGCAGCCUCUCCUGCGCAGUAGUUUGCACAACUCGCACCGGGAGCGCGGCGCGUCCACGUCCGUAAAACACCCAACUUUCUGAAAUGUUGACCUCGGAUCAGGUAGGAAUACCCGCUGAACUUAAGCAUAUCAAUAAGCGGAGGGAAAGAAAC